UCAAUCCCUCCAGCCGUCGCUGCCCCUCCCACAUCUCUCCUCCAUCCCCCUCCUCUCUCUCUCCUCUCCUUCCACCUCGUCCGCGAGCCCAUCACCCAGCGCUCGCGCGCUUGCCUCCCGGACCAGCCCGCCACCGCGCCGCUAGGGUUCGUCUGCCGCGGAUUUCCACGGGGAAGGAGCAGCGACGGGGGUAGGCUCUAAGCGGCGCGCACUUCAUGGGGAGGCAAGGAACAAGGAGGUGACGGGGUCGGAUCUGGCGGUGGUAGGUCAGAGCUCGAGCUCGAGGCCGAGAUGGGGAAGGUAAAAAAUAGAGACUGGAUGGAGAUGCUCGAGGCGGAGGACCGCCCGUCGGCGAGCUCGAGCUGGAGACGCACAAUUAGCGUCACCGGCCAUUGGAUGGGUUGGAGCACGAGGCAGAAUUAGCGUCACCGGCCAUUGGAUGGGUUGGAGCACGAGGCAGCGCUCCUGUCGCUAUGUGGUGGAGCCGCGCAGGAGGGUGAGGAGGUUGGCGACAGGGAACCGGGCCGGGGAGGAGGCAAGUGAGCUGGGAGCCGGGGUCAUCCCUCUCACUACCAGUCGAACAUACUACGUCAGCCACCAUGUCGAGCGAUAUAAAAGUGUUCUCUAUUUCAUAGAGCAACAACACGAGAUUGUGCCCCCUCUUGCUCCUGGUGCAUGUUGCUGCCCUCCUUUCUCCUCUUAUUUCACUUGCUUUACAUUGUGUGAAGUUGUUUACUUUCAACUUUACAAAGCUAUAUCAAGUUCGCAACUGUAUUUGGCUACACCUAUAACAUAAUGCAUUUCUCUUCCAGUUUAUUGAAUAUAUUUUUAAGGAUUGAAUGUUCUGUCUGGUACUGUCCUAUCACACAUUUAACUAUCUUAAUUUGUUCACAAAACUCCUUCUGUAGUUAAGAUUUGAUUGUACAACACGUACUAAUUAUUGGUCUUAUUCUUAAAUCUUAUUUCACGCUAUUCAGCUGCAGGCUGGGUUAAGAUUGUUUUUGUGCCAGAAACAGACUAGGCAAUGCUCUAACUUGGCAGCAAAAAAUGUCUAAAUUUCAUAAAUAAGGUCGUGGAAUAUCUUUGAAUAAGUUCAUUUGAAUAUCUUGAGUUGACCUGUAUGGGUUGCUUCUGUGCACACUUUCUUUGAUAUGAAUUUCUAGGAGAGAAAUUCUUUCAUGGUAAUGAUGUAUUAUCAAUAUUUACUUUGUUCUUGGCCUAUAGGUUUCUUUUUGUGGGAUGCAAUUAUGGUACCAUAUGAAUAUGAUCCUUGAGUUGCAUAUUAUUGCCCUUUUGGACAUAGACAUGUGCCAUGUAGUACAACAUUUAUAAAGCAUGUAUUGGAAAUUGUAAGUAGAUGAUUACGGUUACCCUGUAAUUUGAGGAGUAAGAUAUAUAUGGUGAUAGAAUCUAGAGAUACUUGUUAAUCUAUAACAAUGAGAUCCAGUCACGUGCAAUAUUUUUAUUCACAGAAACAGGGAAUCAAUCUGGCUGAAAGUAGUCAUCUUAUGGCGUGGCAUGAAGAGAUGUGUGCAGAUCUGAGAAAGAAGAGGAAUAAUCCAGCAGAAGAAUUUGGUGAAUAAGAACAAGUUGGCAUUUCUCUCUUGUGAACACAGUCAUGCCUGCCUUUUGAUUUUAUUAUUUGUGCUAAUGCAAACAUGAAUUCUCUAUAGUUCUUUGCGCAGCACUGCUAAUUACUCAAUCUGCAAUACAUAAUUAUUUCUGUGAGAAGUUUAGUGCAUGACUUAGCAUUCUGUAAAGUCUGUCUAAGCUCCUGUCUCUAGGCCUAAAUAGAUUUCUCAAUAUCAUUUUUGUUUAAACACUGAACAACAUUGCCAGGUCAACCAUUUCUCAUGUCUUUGUCAUAUAUAUAGGUAUUGUGGUGUCUAAAUUUUGUCACCAGCCUCUUUCACCGACCCAUAAACUAUCUGUCUCGAGGUUUCCCCAUCUAUAUUUGGGUUUCGAAAAACAAAGAACUUUUUUUGGACUUAUUUUGCAUUAGCUACUUUGUAGGUAUUAUGUGCGUUGUCAGGGAUCUGAUAUCAUGUAGUUCCAGGGAUUUCAGAAGGUAUGGUCAGUCCAUUGUUUUUGCCAUGUGUUACUUUUUCUCAUUACUGUGAUCAUCAGUGCUCUUGACAUCUGUUGUUCUUGCUUUAUGAUUGUCUUCCCAGUGCACUUUUAUUAGUUCUAACAUAUUAAUUUUAAUAUGCUUGAUUGACCAUAUUAUAUAUUUCACUUCACCGGGGUGGUGGCUAGAAGUGUUGGUUAAAGUAUUUUGGUUAAAACAUUGUCUCUAAUUAUCAAGUUUAUACAGUUGAAUCUUCUUGAUUGACUAUUUUGUAGCCUGCUCUUAGUUAGUAUUAAUUCUUAAAACUGGAUCUCUUAAAAUUAGUUAAAUUUAUGAGUUGUUUCACUGUUUUCAAAUAAGUAGCUUCAGCCCUCACUGUGUCCUGAAGAUUAUUCUUACUGCCUUUUUAUGAUUGCUUUAUGCUUUAACAAGCUUAAAUAUAACUAUUGGCAUAUAAUCUCAUGGCUUAAAAUCUUAGUUGAGAAUGUAUUAAAAGUUAUAAGAUCUGGAGUUUGCACUAUAUUUCAUCCAGCGGUAUUCCGAGUAACUGAAUGUUAAGAGCAUAGACGAUCAUAGGUUGUACAUUUCAGUUACGGGGAAAUGCUUUUAUCUUGCAGGCUAAUUUUACAUUUACUUUUUCAAUAAUGAGAUGACUAUGUACAGAGUGUCAAGUUUUUUGCCUUGGCAUUACUGCCGCUGUGUACAGAUGGUUACUGAAAGAAGAAGGAUUCAAGCAGCAUACCUUCACUUGACAGAUGCUUUAACCGCAAGAACUGAUGUUAUUUUCUUUUGCUUUUCUGCAAUGAUGGUAGUUCUCAUUUGAUUCUAGAACCUGCAAAGGAAGGGUAGAGAUUUCCAUUGUUGUUGAAUUGGUGGGAUUGUCACCAAGUUAGUGUUGCAGGUUGUUUCUGUUUUAGAGCAAGAAGCCAAAUCAUGUUGUUCAUUGUAAAUCUUGAAAAACUUGUUUACUGUCGCGUCUAUAUCCAUUAUAAACUUUCAUUCCUAGUGUGGUA